UGAAAAUCCUGUUCUUUUCCCAAAAAUCGUCAUUGUGCCUUUUAGUCAAGUGUGCCUUAUCUAUGAAUUUUACCAGUCAGGUUGUAAGAAGCAGUAAAGCCACUCUGCUGAAGUACAGCAUUAUACAGGAGUUUCAGUUAAGAUCUCCAGCGUCUGAAGCAUUAGCAUUAGCCGCUAACCACUAAUUCCCCCUUCAGAGGUGGAAGGAACCAUGGAUUCAGUUAGCUACCAGAAGAUGUUGGGUGGACAUGCCAUGCAGUCAGUGAAAAAGCUGAAGCUUAGGAGACGUUGGUUCUGCCAUGGCUUGCUUGCAGAAGAAGGGCUAGAAGGUUCUGGAGUGGCCAUCACAAUCGCCCAUCUUUACUCCUAUAAAAAAUCUCUGGUAUGCCUAAGGCAGUUGCAACACACAAGCCCAAUAAUGUCAAAGAACUGGAGGCCGUUGUCCAUAAGGAAUAGGCUAAAAUACCUGUUGAUCACUAAAAGAAACUUGUGUCAAGAUAUGUUUCACAUCUGAAGGACGUUAUUACUGCCAAAGAGAGCUGUACUAAGUACGAAUGUUGAAUGUGACUAAGGGGUUGUAUAGUUUUGUCAAUGAGGAAAUCCCAAAAAGAACUUGUUGAUAUAUUAGAAAAAGUAUUGAUGUAAUUUAAGUUGGUGUGUGGUUGGUGUGGCACAGUGGAUAACACCACUACCUUCUAGUGCGCUACCACAUCAAGUGUGUGACCCACCACUGUAAUAGAAAUAACCUUGUAAGUCACUUUGGAUAAAACUGUCAGCUAAAUGCCAUACAAAGUUGCAUUUGUCCUUAUUUAAUCUGAUUGUGAAUAAGUUUAAAAAAUAAAGUUAAACUUGCUAAACA